GAGGCUACCGGGGUUCACCGCCUCCUUCACCACCAGGAAUCGGGUGUCCAGGUUGAAGGCGAAGGCGACCCGGCCGCAAGCCGCCACCAUCAAGGCCAGAGCGCGGAGCAGCCAGCCAGGGGCGCGGGGCACGCGGCAGGGGCCGGGGCCCAUGGCUGCGGGCCGGGCCGUAAGGGGCCGGGCGAAAUCGCUAGAGGGCUCAGCACCGGGAGUGAUGAACGGUUCACCUGCUCCAGGCGCCACCAGAGGACACCCGAGCCCGCAGAGCCGCUGCACCGGUAGUCAGGCAAUUUUUUACCCUAGUCCGGGUCACUUUCACGUCUGCUCCGGGUGCUUUUCCAAUCCGUUUUCCAGAUCCGUGGAUCUACUCUCACGUUGGUUCGGUGGACGGGUCACCGUUCCGAGCUCCGAGCACCCCACACCCUAGAUGGUCCCGGCCGCGCCCCCUUGGAGGUGUUAGCUCUUUGGACCUCGGCUAGGUGGAGGAUUUAGAACGGCAAGCCCUCGAUCACCAGGAGGGCAGGAGGGAGGGAUCCUCCCCAGCGCGCCCCGCCUCCCCACCGCCCAGCCCCGCACCUCCCCACCUUGCGCGCCCAGUCCGGGCUCCGCUUUCCUUCCGGGGAAAGAGAAAAGGUCCCCGCUCGGCCGCCGCCUCUUAAAGGGGCAGCGCCGCCCCUCCCUCUCCAUCUCUCCUAUCGCGACUCCGCCCUCUCUCUCAGACACCUGUCGGGAACCCUUAAAGCCCGGAUUUCCCCUUCCAGCGGAGAGCUUCUUCCUAGGAGCGUCGCCUUCGGUACAAGACGGAUUGGACGGGCGGGGCCAGAGGUGGAUUUGCUUGGCGCUUGCGGCGGCUGCUACUGGAAAGGCCGUUCAAGGCACCGCCAGCACCGCGAUCCCCGCUGGACAAACCAGGCGUUGGCUCUUCGGAGAACGGUCGACUGUGUUCGGCUGCCUGGAAUGCGGACCUCCGCAGUGAUGAGUCAAGGAGGCUUCCGGGAGAAGGAAGAGGAGCUGAAAGGAGAGACAGGCCUGGGAGACCUCAAAAGAAGAAAUGUAGUAGUUGGCUUAAGUUGGGGUAAAGUUUUCCCAGCUGGAACAAUGACAAUGUCAAUAUUCUCAGAAGGCGGCUUCCGUGUUCUUCUUGGGGCGCUUGCUGUGUUUGCACCAGCAUGACAACACAGCCUCAGUCAGCUGCUGCAGGAAUUACAGGGCCACAUAGUGGCCUGCUGCUAGGGCCGAACACCGACUAAUCUGUCUUCUUACCUGAGCAAAGCCACCUUCCUACCCCAGGCCUUGGAAUCCCAUCCAGUAAGCAAAAGGGCCUUCUUAGUAUUCUCCAUCAGCAUCCAUCGUGUCUCGUGUCCCAAACCUCCUCCGAUCCGUAGAAGCAAAUGGACCAGCUCUGCUACUGACCCUAAACUCAGGUCACUCCCUGACUCAGAUUGAAGAUACACAUGACUUGGGAGGGAGAGAGGGAGUGGAGAGGGAAGGAGGGAGGAGUGGCCAAGCCUGAAUAAAUUUAUCAGAUUUCCUACUCCACUGACCCAGACUUAGCCUUCUCUACCUCAAACCCCAAGGCAAAAUCCCUCUCUGUAUCAGCUUAGAGCGGAGUCCUCCACUGGGACUAACAAAGGUGAAGAUUUCUACGAGAAAGCAAGGGCUUCCUCUGGCCCCCUUCUCUGUCUUUUUUUGGGCUUGAGCCUAGUGCUUAACAGCUGAGACAUCUUUCCAGCCUCUGCUGGAAAUUCUGGGAACUUAAUGUUAAACAGGCUAAACUGACAGUGUCUCGUGUUAUAGGGUUGAUGUGUGUGAUCCAAGAGAGGCUAUUAGAAACAGCAUGUUUGGGCUGGUGAGAUGGCUCAGUGGGUAAGAGCACCCGACUGCUCUUCCGAAGGUCAGGAG